CGUAGGCGGUUUUGCAAGCCAGAGGUGAAAUGCCUGAGCUUAACUUAGGAAUUGCCUUUGGGACUGCGAGGCUUUGAGGACGAGAGAGGUGAGUGGAAUUCCCAGUGUAGAGGUGAAAUUCGUAGAUAUUGGGAAGAACACCGGUGGCGAAGGCGGCUCACUGGCUCGUUUCUGACGCUGUAGCGCGAAAGCGUGGGGAUCAAACA
rnacentral:rRNA from 1 species